rnacentral:miRNA from 1 species
UCUCUGUUAAUAUGAUGAGAGAACUGCGAAUGGUAGCCCAUGCCUGUAAGCCCAGCACUGGGGAGGCUGAGGCAGGAGGAU